GCUCAGGAUGAACGCUGGCGGCACGCCUAAUACAUGCAAGUCGAGCGCGUGAAGCUUCCAGAAGCCUUCGGGCGGACGGGAGUGGAUCGAGCGGCGGACGGGUGAGUAACACGUAGGCAACCUGCCUGUAAGACCGGGAUAACCCCGGGAAACCGGGGCUAAUACCGGAUAGGACCUUCGGUCGCAUGACCGUUGGUUGAAAGGUGGCCGCAAGGCUACCGCUUACAGAUGGGCCUGCGGCGCAUUAGCUAGUUGGUGAGGUAACGGCUCACCAAGGCGACGAUGCGUAGCCGGCCUGAGAGGGUGAUCGGCCACACUGGGACUGAGACACGGCCCAGACUCCUACGGGAGGCAGCAGUA
rnacentral:rRNA from 1 species